AACGAACGCUGGCGGCAUGCCUAACACAUGCAAGUCGAACGAAGGCUUCGGCCUUAGUGGCGCACGGGUGCGUAACGCGUGGGAAUCUGCCCCUCGGUUCGGAAUAACAGUUAGAAAUGACUGCUAAUACCGGAUGAUGACUUCGGUCCAAAGAUUUAUCGCCGAGGGAUGAGCCCGCGUAAGAUUAGGUAGUUGGUGGGGUAAAGGCCUACCAAGCCGACGAUCUUUAGCUGGUCUGAGAGGAUGAUCAGCCACACUGGGACUGGGACACGGCCCAGACUCCUACGGGAGGCAGCAGUGGGGAAUAUUGGACAAUGGGCGAAAGCCUGAUCCAGCAAUGCCGCGUGAGUGAUGAAGGCCUUAGGGUUGUAAAGCUCUUUUACCAGGGAUGAUAAUGGCAGUACCUGGAGAAUAAGCUCCGGCUAACUCCGUGCCAGCCGCCGCGGUAA
rnacentral:rRNA from 1 species